CUCCAACCAGGUAUAACAGACCCCAACACCUCCUCCAACCAGGUGUAACAGACCCCAACACCUCCUCCAACCAGGUGUAACAGACCCCAACACCUCCUCCAACCAGGUGUAACAGACCCCAACACCUUCUCCAACCAGGUAUAACAGACCCCAACACCUUCUCCAACCAGGUAUAACAGACCCCAACACCUCCUCCAACCAGGUGUAACAGACCCCAACACCUUCUCCAACCAGGUGUAACAGACCCCAACACCUCCUCCAACCAGGUGUAACAGACCCC